UUGGGCGUAAGAGCUCGUAGGUCGUUUGUUACGUCGGAUGUGAAAACCUGAGGCUCAACCUCAGGCCUGCAUUCGAUACGGGCAAACUAGAGUUUGGUAGGGGAGACUGGAAUUCCUGGUGUAGCGGUGGAAUGCGCAGAUAUCAGGAGGAACACCAAUGGCGAAGGCAGGUCUCUGGGCCAAUACUGACACUGAGGAGCGAAAGUCUGGGGAGCGAACAGGAUUAGAUACCCUGGUAGUCCAGACCGUAAACGGUGGGCACUAGUUGUGGGAACCUUCCACGGUUUCUGCGACGCAGCUAACGCAUUAAGUGCCCCGCCUGGGGAGUACGAUCGCAAGAUUAAAACUCAAAGGAAUUGACGGGGCCCCGCACAAGCAGCGGAGCAUGCGGCUUAAUUCGACGCAACGCGAAGAACCUUACCAAGGCUUGACAUAUAGGGAAAAGUGGCAGAGAUGUCAUGUCCGCAAGGGCUCUAUACAGGUGGUGCAUGGUUGUCGUCAGCUCGUGUCGUGAGAUGUUGGGUUAAGUCCCGCAACGAGCGCAACCCUCGUUCUGUGUUGCCAGCAUUUAGUUGGGGACUCACAGGAGACUGCCGGGGUUAACUCGGAGGAAGGUGGGGAUGACGUCAAAUCAUCAUGCCCCUUAUGUCUUGGGCUGCACGCAUGCUACAAUGGCUGGUACAAACGGCUGCGAUACCGCAAGGUGGAGCGAAUCCGAUAAAGCCAGUCUCAGUUCGGAUUGGGGUCUGCAACUCGACCCCAUGAAGUCGGAGUUGCUAGUAAUCGUAGAUCAGCAACGCUACGGUGAAUACGUUCCCCGGGCUUGUA
rnacentral:rRNA from 1 species